UCUUCUUUCUUCUUCAGCCAUAAACUGAGAGAGGAGAAAUUCAACAGAGAAGUUAGGGUUCGUGUCGAAAUUGAAGAAUCAGAGUAUGGGUUUCGAAAUCAUGAAUCCUAAUCUAAAUUUCCGAUUCUAGAUCAGAGAAAGAAAGGUGUUGGUGGUCAAUUCCAAUUGGGAUUUGAGAAUAAUCGAAAAGGGGAUUUUGGGUGUUCUUGUUUUGAUAUUGAAGGUGUCUUUGGCAGUUUAGUAAAAAUCAAGAGCUUGCUGAAAGCUUGUGCAUCAUCAUCUAAAGUAUUUCACACUUAUGCAGCAAACAUAAAACUGAAACUGAAACUGAGUACAAGAAGUAAACAGCUAACAUCCACAUUGACACAUUAUCAGUAAUGAAUGGAAUUUCUCGCUUUUGUGAGAAUAGCCUACCAUGGAGGUACUCCAAAGAAGAACGGAUCCCCAUUACGGAGUUUCAGCAUCGAAAUAUUACUUACCUUUUGAAGUGAAUAUUUUCAUCAUCUGUUUUUGGUAUUUGUGAACCAACUUGAGGUGCCACAUUAUGAUAAUUGUAUAUACUUAAACUGAAGUAGAUGAUUAUGUACACUUGUACAGGCGAAUCAAACUAAAACUAGACCUUUCUGA